rnacentral:rRNA from 1 species
UACACACCGCCCGACACACCAUGGGAGCUGACUCAACCAGAAAACGGGAUCGCUAACCGCAAGGAGGCGAUCGUUGAAGGUGGGGUUGGUGACUGGGGUG